rnacentral:rRNA from 1 species
UACAGAGGUCUCAAGCGUUUGUUCGGAUUCAUUGGGCGUAAAGGGUGCGUAGGCGGCGCGGUAAGUCGGGUGUGAAAUCUUGGAGCUUAACUCCGAAACUGCAUUCGAUACUGCCGUGCUUGAGGACUGGAGAGGAGACUGGAAUUUACGGUGUAGCGGUGAAAUGCGUAGAUAUCGUAAGGAAGACCAGUGGCGAAGGCGGGGUCUCUGGACAGUUCCCUGACGCUGAGGCACGAAAG